GGUCAGCAGGUGUCAGCACCCGGGGUCAGCAGGUGUCAGCACCCGGGGUCAGCAGGUGUCACCCGGGGUCAGCCGCGGUCUGCAAGCACCUGCUUUCUUGUGAUGAAUUCGUAGGCCGGCAGGUGCCUACCGCCGUUCAGGCCACGUCAUCUCAUUGCCCGGGCAUUUUGCCAUUUCGUGGCGCCACCAGAAGGGCCAGCGCAGCCCAGUAGGGUAUUUUGAGAGACCGUAUUUACAUAGCUUUCAUUACAAUAUAUUGUUAUAAGGGCGCCCGGGUGGCUCGGGUGGCUCGGGUGGCUCAGGGGGUUAAGCAUCUGCCUUGGGCUCAGGUCAUGAUCCCACGGUUAUGGGAUCAAGCCCCGUAUGGUCAUGGGAUCGAGCCCGCAUUGAUGGGAUUGAGCCCCACAUCGAUGGGAUUGAGCCCCAUGUGGUUAUGGCAUCGAGCCCUGCAUCGAUGGGAUCGAGCCCCGCCUCUAUGGGAUCGAGCCCUGCAUCGGUGGGAUUGAGCCCCACGUGGUUAUGGGAUCGAGCCCCGCAUUGGGCUCCCUGCUCAGCGAGGGAACCUGCUUCUCCCUCUCCCUCUGCUACUCCUCGUGCUUCUGCUCUCUUGCUCUCUGUCAAUUAAAUAAAUAAAAUCUUUUUUUUAAUUUAAAAAUAUUAUAAUUGUGCUAAUGCUGCUAAUCUCUUAGUGUGGCUAGUUUACAGAUUGAACUGUUUUUUUCUUUUUAAAGAUUUUAUUUAUUUAUUCAUAGAGACACAGAGAGAGGCAGAGACACAGGCAGAGGGAGAAGCAGGCUGGAUCCCCGACCCGGGGAUCACGACCUGAGCCAAAGGGAGACGCUCAACCACUGAGCCACCCAGGCGUCCCCAGAUUAAACUUUAUCUUAGAUGCGUAUGAAUAGGAAAAAACAGUACAUACUGCAUAUCUGCAGUGUCAGGCAUGGGGGCGGGUGUUGGGCCUCGGACCAUAUUCUCUAAGGACAAGGUGGGGGCUACUGUAAACAACGAAGAGCAUCAUUUUCACGUUUGUAACUUGUGAUAUGUGAUGUGCGUAUAUGAAACCAUUGUACUGUAUGCCUUAAAUGCAUACAGUAUUGCAGGUCCAACUCCAUCUCAGUAAAACUGGUGGGGGUGGGGGAAUGGGGAGAAGAAAAAAGGAAACUCAUCCAAAACCUCUGGUCACAAAAGGGGAAAAAAUGCCUCCUGGUAGCAUUUGAAAACCACUGCUUUGUGCUACAUCACAGUUUCUGUUCUGCUAUUUCACAUCAGAGACUGAAUUGACCUCCGUGCUAGUUGAAUCCUCCAGCUCGUGGCUGCAAUGAAAGAGACUCAAUAUUUAACAGUAGAGCUGGCCUUGGAACUGGAAGCAAAGGCGCUGACCACAUUCCCAGGGCAGAGCAAUUCCUUCCCAUUUGAUUACUUCACAGCACAAACGACGGCUGGAUAUUGAGAAUAAACAAGCAAGUGAGGCAGCUUUACCACUCAGCUCCCUGAGAACUCCACUCCAUCCUCCAGCCUUGCAGGAGAGGGACUGAUGGAGAGUAAGCUGUGCUCAGACAGGUUUUAAGGAGCUCCUGAUAACAUUUAUGCUUCGUCUUCACGUAGUGGGCAGCUCCUCCUCUCCUGUGCACGCUAUUCCUUUAGUUCCCGUGAGGAGGCUAUGUUCUGUGCAGGUAAAAGUGGGAAUUCGUUUCUGGCUCGAUCCAAUCAUAACCACACUGUCAACUUUACAAGAUGCUAAUUACGAAAUAAGAGACAAUUGGUUGUGUUUUAUGAGGCUGUUAGGACAUGCCCAGUAUGCCCAGGAAGUGAGCCAGGAGAUUGAAACGCAAGUGCUUUGGGCUGUUCCUCCGUGUGUGUUACUGGCUCAAUUAAACAUACCUUAAAGGAGCGCUUCUUCUUCUUCCGCAGUGGGUGUUUCAUAAUUUGUUUUGUUAGAUGUUGCCCCGAGCAAGUCCUCUGAGGCCGAAGGAGUUCUGAAGCUCUAUUUCCAAACACGUUCCAUGAUUCCUCUCACUCAGCCCCUUACAGGGAAGAGGAUCUGGAAAAGAUUUCACCGCAAGAUUUCACCCUGAGAAUCAAGGCCACUGAGAAGCAGGGACAUUUUUAAAGAAACUCCAUAACUGCCCUCAUAACUGAUUUGGACAGAACAGACACACUUGAGUAAACGCUGGGGCGUCUCGCUUCUUUGCAAAGGACUCCAUCACUACUAUUUAAGUCAACAUUGAUGUGAAGAUAUUUCCAUUUUUCUUUGCUCCCUAGAGCAUCGUUGGUUCAGAUCUCACGGCUGAAGUUCACACUGGAGAUUCUUUGCACUAUUCCUUUGGUUUUUUUUUGUUUUGUUUUGUUUUGUUUUUUUAAUAAAAGCAACAGAAAAAUCUAGUUCCAAGUCAAUGUUUCCAAUAUCAGCUUCUUUCAGAGUUAAUAGCUACAUGAUCAAAUCAAAAUGUCAUUUUUAAGGGACGUCUGGGUGGCUCGGUCAGUUGAGCAUCCAACUCAUGAUUUCGACUGGGGUCAUGACCUUAGGGUCAUAGGAUCAAGGCCCCAGUUGGGUUCUGUGCUUGCUGUAGAAUCUGCUUGAAAUCUCACUUGAGAUUCCCUGACCCCACCCACAUCAUGCUCAUGCUCAUUCUCUCUCUCUCUCUCUCUCUUAAAUAAAUAAAUACAUAAAUUUUAAUGGCAUUUUUAAGGAGAAAGAAAAAGAAUAGUGUAAAGUUCUUGUGACCUUAAAUAAUUGUAUUCACUACAUAAUAAAUAUUUGGAUUUGAAA